GGAUAUUGGACAAUGGGCGCAAGCCUGAUCCAGCCAUGCCGCGUGGGUGAAGAAGGCCUUAGGGUUGUAAACCCCUUUCAGCGGGGAAGAUAAUGACGGUACCCGCAGAAGAAGUCCCGGCCAACUCCGUGCCAGCAGCCGCGGUAAUACGGAGGGGACUAGCGUUGUUCGGAAUUACUGGGCGUAAAGCGCACGUAGGCGGAUUCGUAAGUCAGGGGUGAAAUCCCGAGGCUCAACCUCGGAACUGCCUUUGAUACUGCGAAUCUUGAGUCCGGAAGAGGUGAGUGGAAUUCCUAGUGUAGAGGUGAAAUUCGUAGAUAUUAGGAAGAACACCAGUGGCGAAGGCGGCUCACUGGUCCGGUACUGACGCUGAGGUGCGAAAGCGUGGGGAGCAAACAGG
rnacentral:rRNA from 1 species